GUAUACAGCGAACUUUAUUUGUUUACUAGUUUCAUGAGAAGAAUGUGGUGUUCUCAUGAAACUAGUACGAAAACAAAGUUAAGCCGUAAUUGUUUACAUUUUUACCGAUUCUGCAGUUUUACCGACAGACGGGAAAGCGUUUAUGACAACUUAAGCUAUCAUCUGACUUCUUAUAGGCAAUAUUAAACAUCAUAGACAGUUCCAGUAUUUGUGUUUACGGAUCUUAAUUUUCAAAAUUGCCCGCAAAAAUGUUAAAAAGGAGCUAUAGAAGUUUCUUAGAGAGACAAAUAAUGAUUUUGGGGUGAAUAUGGAAUUGUUUUCAUUGUCUUUGCAUUUUCCUUCCGCCAGUAAUCGAUCGUAAGUGAGCAGAUACCCCCAGGGUGCUAAUAGCAUGCCGACAGCGAACGUGCCAUUUUGUUUCGUUCCUGAGGUCUGUUUGGAUAAGUAGGAAGCAAAAUAUCGUUUUCAGAGGAGAGCCCACACUUACUGUGAAGCAGGCACUCGGAGGAACCAAGCUGGGAGGUGACAUUCGUCUUUGGGGCUGCUCAUUUUCAGCAGUCGUACUGAAGGAGAAGCCCCCAAGAAGUAAACCCACCAGUGAUCGCCUAACACUUCCUCGUCAUAUUUUCCAAUGACGUCUACUGGCCACCGACACCACCAGUACCAGCACCGGCACGGUCACCGGCAACGCAUCGCCACAGGCACCGCCGCCCGCUCCAUCACCGCGGAACGAUUACCGCCAUAGUCACCAUCAUCGCCAACGCCACCACCAUCAUUAUCACCACUACCGCUACCAAUACCAAUACCGUCUCCGCCGAUACAGCCUUUGCCCAGUCCCUGAUCAGUCAAGUAUAUCCUUUAUCCAAUCUAUCCUACCCCGUUCUUAAUCUACUCCGUGCCCAAUCCAAACAAGCCCGACCCAAUUCCAGACCAGACCCGACCCAGCCCGUGCCCAGGGCAGUCCACAACAAGCCCAUGCCCAGCCACUGCUUAGCCCAGCCCGUGAUAGACGAGCCUACAUACAGCCAAGGUCGUGCCGAAACCAGCCCAGUAUACGGUACCUAAUUAAGCCCAGAUCUUGCCCAGUCCUGCCCAACCCGUCCCUGGUCCAGUCCUCUCCAGCCCAUGACUAGUUAAGCUCAGACCGUGACCAAUUCAGUCGACAUCGUAAAAAAACCAACCAAGACCGUUAACUGCAAAACCCGUUCUAAAUCCGCCUCAGCCCGUUCCCGAUCUAGACAAACCCGUUCCCAAUCCAGCACAGACCGUGACUAAUCCAAACCAGCCUGGGCUCAACCAAGCCCAUCCUGUGAUCAAUUCAGCAAACUCCGUGCUUAUUCCAGGAUAGUCCAUACCCAAGCCAGUAGAGCAUGUGCUCAAUCAAGGCUGUACCGUGCCAAAUCUAGCCCAGCCAAUUCUUAGUAAUGCACAGCACGUUCACACUCAAGCCCAUAACAUGCUCAGCCCGUGCUUAGUUCAGAGCAUGCAAGGUUCGGGUCGGGUCUCGGCGCUGCCUUUUUUUCGGCGAGGCCGGAUGUCGACGAGGUCGCGUGUCGGCAAGGACAUGUGUCAGCGACGCCCCGGGUCGUCGACGCCGCCUCUCUCCAAGGCCGGG